rfam:Brassica napus, WGS project CCCW01000000 data, contig: 23441
GGAAUAUAAGAACCCGUCUCUUAGCUUUCAACUAAAAAGGCUAAGAACCGGUUCUUAAAUAAGAGUUUUAAGAACUGGUUUUUAGCUUUUUUUAGUUAAAAGUUAAGAGACGGGUUCUUAUAUUCC